rnacentral:rRNA from 1 species
ACACGCAUGACACACUGCAUAUCAAUAAGCGGAGGAAAAGAAACUAACAAGGAUUCCCCUAGUAACGGCGAGUGAAGCGGGAAGAGCUCAAAUUUGAAAUCUUAAAGGGUUCUACCUUGACGAAUUGUAGUUUAUAGAAGUGUUUUCUGUUGGAGUUUCGGUAAAAGUUCUUUGGAAUAGGACAUCAUAGAGGGUGAGAAUCCCGUAUUUGACCGUUACUUUCCAGCUGUGUGAUACACUUUCAAAGAGUCGGAUUGUUUGGGAAUGCAGUCCAAGAUGGGUGGUAAAUUUCAUCUAAAGCUAAAUAUUGGCGAGAGACCGAUAGCGAACAAGUACCGUGAGGGAAAGAUGAAAAGAACUUUGAAAAGAGAGUUAAACAGUACGUGAAAUUGUCAAAAGGGAAGCGUUUGACACCAGUGUUGUUUAGUUGAAAAUCAAUUCAAUAAUUUUUGAUUUUGAGUAGUAUUGACUUCAUCAGCUUGCUGCUUUCUUUUCAGAAAUUAUUGAAUGCACUUUUCAGUUAACAAGUCAACAUCAAUUUCUUUUGUUGUAAAAGGGUAAGAGGAAGGUGGCUUACGCUUCGGCGUAAGUGUUUAUAGCCUUUUACCUCUGCAAUCGGAGAGAUUGAGGACAGCAGCGUAGACUCUUCGGGGUUAGAUACACUUGUGCUAAGCUAUAGCCUUGUAUAGACAGCUUGUUGACUAUGCUCAGUCAUGUAGCUUACUCGCUUGUGCUAUUUUACCUACGCUUAGGAUGUUGAUCUACAGAGCGAGAGU